UGGAGCAGAUGCAGUGUUCGAGAUGACAGAUGGGGCUGAGUCCUUUGGCAUGUUUGGUGCAGGGGUCAUCUUCCCAGUGCUCACUGCAGAUCCUAAGUUAGCGAUGAGAGAUUCUGGGUAUGGGAAACAGAACUGGGCAACCAUUUGCAGAAAGCAGCAAGAUCCACUUGGACCCAAGUCCUGCAUCUGAUUGUUUUCAGCACUUGCACCACCAGGACAUAACAGAUGUCAGGCCUGUUGGAAGCAGCUUCAAAAGAAGGAAGAAAUGCCUUAGAUGGGCGCUCAGAAGUAACCCUGAUUACUGGCAUCCUACGAGCCUGAUGAAGUCCAGAAAAUCCAUCACUGACUGAUGCUUUCUCUGUGCGAAAUCGGAUUUUUGUAUUUUACUAAUCCCCCGUUACAAUCUGUGUCCUGCUCUUUGCGAUCCACCCUGUAAUCAGAAUCCAGCCAGCCCAGAUGUAACCCGGGACAUCAAUAUAAAAUCUUGAUGUUGGAAAACAAGCAUUUAUUAGCCUGAAUCUUAGGGUACAGGAGAGAGGUGGUUACUGGGCAGAAAUCUGGGGAUUUGUCUGAAGAGUCCCCUGCUUCCUUGGGCUGAGGAGUACAAGAAGCUUUCACAGGCAAGGCUGCAAACUGGAAGCGGCCUGGAGCUGACACACUGGAGCACUCACUGCCUGGGCUGGAUGGUUUUCUUGCUCUGAGGAGGAGGACGAACUUGUAGGAGAUGCCCCAGUACAUCCUCUGGAUCUUUUUCUUGGCAAUGAUGAAGGCGAGAGGGGAGCUGCCCUUCAUUGCAGAAAACAACGCAGCUAUGAUGGUAAACUGGUAAGGAAAAAAGUGUCUUUGCUCUUUAACGGGAGAUAGCAUACUCGUCCUUUUUCUGCAGUGGUGGCUGCUCUGCCUCUGUCUGUAUGCUUCCCUUGACUUUAGAUAUCUUUGCUUUAGCAACAGCUUUGUGUCUCCUGAAAUGGGCAAGGGAUGGGGUGAAGAUGCAUAGGACGGAGACGGCAGUUGUGUUUUGUGGCUCCCCUGUGCUGCCCGAGGGAAGCUUUCCCUCACUUUGUUUCCUGUUGGGAGAGUAAGCGGCAGGCUCAGCUGCCCCCUCUUUAUUUGCCAUAUUUGGACAGUUUGAGCAGAAAGCUUUACACGCCUUCAUGUUUUGGACCAACUAACUUUGUGUGUGAGUGUACGUGUACCUGUUUUCCCAUCUCCUAAAUUUCCUGUGGAUAGUAAGAGUUUCCUAACUCGGUCUACAACCUCGGCAGGACCUCCACAGUCCUGCCUUCAGCUCAGAGCCCAUCCUUUUUCACCAGGGACACAGUGCAUCACCAGAAGACUCUGUUGUGCUUUGCCAGCAGGAAUUGCUCCCAGCCGUGUUGCUGUAGGCUGCAGGCUGCGCUCUUUCCCCUCCCCAAGCCCCAUGCACCCAGCAGCCGUGGAAAUCCCCCUUCCCUUCACGGCAGGAUAUUUUGCUUCCAGGCUGAGGAGCCCCCACGCUGGGUGCCACUAAUGCUCUCCAGCUGAGCACAUUGUGUAACUUGGUUAAGCCCCCAUCCUUCUGUCCUUCUGAGCCUACAUGACCCCUGUCCUGGCCUCGACCCCCCCGGGAGUCCCCCUGCCAAUGCACACC